AUAUCCAAUUUCCCUCUACCUCCCCUCAGCCUGUCUGUCCGUGCCGUGCCAGUAUGGAGGAAACUGCACAGAGGUCGAUGACGGUUUUACGUGUGAAUGUCCUAAAGGAUUUGGCGGGAACCGAUGUGAAAUAUAUCCACCUCGUAAUUGUGCUGAGUUGAAGGCUCGUGACGGCAUCACCGAAGAUGGUACCUACGUCAUUGACCCGGAUGGAAAACGCACUCUAUCGCUUCCGGUUGAGAUGGAUUGCCUCAUGGCGGAAGGUGUCACCUCAGUAGAACACGACAUCACCGGUCAAGAGACGACCCCGUCUGAACUGGGAGUAGGGGAGUUUGUGCGCAACGUGACCUAUCCGUUCGACUCCAAUACUAUCCUUGCUCUC